rnacentral:rRNA from 1 species
UGGGGAAUCUUCCGCAAUGGACGAAAGUCUGACGGAGCAACGCCGCGUGAGUGAAGACGGCCUUCGGGUUGUAAAGCUCUGUUAUUCGGGAAGAACGAUUCGUUUGUGAACAAUGAACGGAAGUGACGGUACCGAAAGAGAAAGCCACGGCUAACUACGUGCCAGCAGCCGCGGUAAUACGUAGGUGGCAAGCGUUGUCCGGAAUUAGUGGGCGUAAAGAGCGCGUAGGCGGUAUGGUAAGUCUGUCUUAGAAGUGCGGGGCUUAACCCCGUGAGGGGACAGAGACUGUCAUACUGGAGUCUCGGAGAGGAAAGCGGAAUUCCUAGUGUAGCGGUGAAAUGCGUAGAGAUUAGGGAGAACACCGGUGGAGAAGGCGGCUUUCUGGACGAGCACUGACGCUGAGGCGCGAAAGCGUGGGGAGCGAACAGG